AGCCCAGGCAGAGAGCAGGGCUGGGUGUCUGUUGUGCUUCAGUAGAAGAUUCCAAGACCCGGUUUCUCCUGGUCCACAGCAAACACAAAAUAUUUAGAAAUUCACUAACUGCUCAGCAGUGUUUUCUAAGGGGAGUGCCAAGGAUUUAAUCUGUCUUUGGUUCACCAGGGAUGUCUGCAGUUAACUCAUGAUGGGAACAGAGCCUGCAGCUCAUGGUAGCUACGUUUAUAAGCAGAGACAGGCACGCUUCAGGAUCAGAAGCAGUUCCAAUUGAGAAAAAUAAUCUCGUUUAGCAAAAAUCUACAAAAGGCAAUGUUCUUAACAGGAUCACUUUGGAGUUUCAAGGAACUGUGGACCCUUGUUUGCUGGUGAGGAAAUGGAUUUUACCCUGCACAUAGCGUGCAGUUAUCCCAUUGCAUCUGAUCAUACAAAUAAACCAUCGCAGAGUCCAUGACCUCAGUGCUGUCAUAAUGAUUGGCCCGCCUUGAUUAACUGAAGGACCAGUAAGUUUAUGUCCCCAAAUCAAGGAAAGUCAAGUCAAUGACAGAAGUAGUCCAACAGCAGACACAUCACUCACUCGUCUUGUACAGCAGUGCCCUCAGUACCGCACCUGGUUUUGUUUGGAGGAGAGCAGAGCUCUGCUUACACUCAACAGCCACAUUUUCUCCACUGAGGCUGCAGCUUUUCUUUGGCAGAACAGAAACCUGGUGUCCAGGCUGCACCUGCUGUAUGUGCCACUGUUCGCUCAUGCGGUUUCCCCACAUAUUUUUUUCCAGUCAUUAGUUUUCUCGGGCUGGUAGCCUAGGCUAUAUUGAAUCAGCAUCCUCAAGGACCACGCAGCACAGGAUCCUGAUCUGAAGAGCAGGCCACAGAGGCCUGCAGGGCCCAGGGCCCAAGGCAGGGUCAGAGCAGUUCCUUGUCCCCUGCUAUCAGCCAGGAGGACACUGGGUUCUCACUGAACUCUGGUUCAGACUAUACCUACUGUAUUUAAAAGCCACAACUGGAUCUGUUCUUCAGACAUCUGUUUACUUUUGUUUUCAACCUGUCCACACUCCUGUCCUCCAUAGCCCACAGUUAA